rnacentral:rRNA from 1 species
UACGUAGGGUGCAAGCGUUGUCCGGAAUUAUUGGGCGUAAAGAGCUCGUAGGCGGUCUGUCGCGUCGGAUGUGAAAAUCCAGGGCUCAACCCUGGACCUGCAUUCGAUACGGGCAGACUAGAGUUCGGCAGGGGAGACUGGAAUUCCUGGUGUAGCGGUGAAAUGCGCAGAUAUCAGGAGGAACACCUAUUGCGAAGGCAGCUCGCUGGGACGUAACUGACGCUGAGACGCGAAAGCGUGGGGAGCAAACAGG